rnacentral:rRNA from 1 species
UACGGAGGGUGCGAGCGUUAUUCGGAAUUACUGGGCGUAAAGCGCGCGUAGGCGGUGCGGUAAGUCAGGGGUUAAAGGCUGCAGCUCAACUGCAGUAAGGCCUUUGAUACUAUCGCGCUAGAGUACCAGAGAGGAUGGCGGAAUUCCCGGUGUAGCGGUGAAAUGCGUAGAUAUUGGAAGGAAUACCGGUGGCGAAGGCGGCCACCUGGUCAGAAACUGACGCUGAGGUACGAAAGCGUGGGGAGCAAACAGG